rnacentral:rRNA from 1 species
CAGUCGCCGCGGGAAUACAGAGGGUGCGAGCGUUAAUCGGAUUUACUGGGCGUAAAGCGUGCGUAGGUGGUGGUUUAAGUCCGUUGUGAAAGCCCUGGGCUCAACCUGGGAAUUGCAGUGGAUACUGGGUCACUAGAGUGUGGUAGAGGAUAGUGGAAUUUCCGGUGUAGCAGUGAAAUGCGUAGAGAUCGGAAGGAACAUCUGUGGCGAAGGCGACUAUCUGGGCCAACACUGACACUGAGGCACGAAAGCGUGGGGAGCAAACAGGAUUAGAUACCCCCGUAGUCCCUGUCUCUUAUAC